rnacentral:tRNA from 4 species
GCGGGUAUGGUUCAAUGGUAGAACAAGAGAUUUCCAAUCUCUUUAUGGGGGUUCGAUUCCCCCUACCCGCU